UGAAACCAAGGAAAUGAAGUGCUUCCUUUCGUUGACGAUAAACCGCCGUGUUGGCUGAUGACUUCUGUAGGCUU
rnacentral:ncRNA from 2 species